GAAUGCCCAGUGAUCCUUGUGGGGUGUUGCUGACACAGAGCUUGCUCUCUAGAGAGAGAAAGCUAGUGAGAGAGAGAGAUAGAUAGAGAGAGGUAGAAGACUAGAAGUAGUGUAGUCCAGUGUGAAUUGUUGGGUGUCCAAUGGGUGGAGGGGUUGCACACUUGCUCCUCAUCCACACUAGCUACCCCAGCUCAGCUCAGCUCAGCUCAUUCCUCUCUCUCUCAUCAACCCUAGCUAGAAGAACUAGAUAGAAGCUUUCUUGAGCCAGCCAAUUAACUCGAUCUCUCUCCUCUCGCUCUCUCUCUCUCUCU
rnacentral:lncRNA from 1 species